UACGAAGGGUGCAAGCGUUACUCGGAAUUACUGGGCGUAAAGGGCGCGUAGGCGGGAUGGCAAGUCGGUCGUGAAAUCCUUCGGCUCAACCGAAGAACGUCGAUCGAUACUGCUGUUCUUGAGGGUUGCAGAGGAGACUGGAAUUCCCGGUGUAGCGGUGAAAUGUGUAGAGAUCGGGAGGAACACCGGUGGCGAAGGCGGGUCUCUGGGCAACUCCUGACGCUGAGGCGCGAAAGCGUGGGGAGCAAACGGG
rnacentral:rRNA from 1 species